rnacentral:rRNA from 1 species
GACGAACGCUGGCGGCGUGCUUAACACAUGCAAGUCGAACGGUGAAGGGACCGGUUUUUGCUGGUUCUGGAUGAGUGGCGAACGGGUGAGUAACACGUGAGUAACCUGCCCCCUUCUUCUGGAUAACCGCAUGAAAGUGUGGCUAAUACGGGAUAUUCUGCGCCUGCUGCAUGGUGGGUGUGGGAAAGAUAUUGUUUCGGUGGGGGAUGGGCUCGCGGCCUAUCAGCUUGUUGGUGGGGUGAUGGCCUACCAAGGCGGUGACGGGUAGCCGGCCUGAGAGGGUGGACGGUCACACUGGGACAGAGACACGGCCCAGACUCCUACGGGAGGCAGCAGUGGGGAAUAUUGCACAAUGGGCGCAAGCCUGAUGCAGCGACGCCGCGUGAGGGAUGGAGGCCUUCGGGUUGUAAACCUCUUUCGCCAGUGAAGCAGGCCUGUCCCUUUUGUGGGUGGGUUGACGGUAGCUGGAUAAGAAGCGCCGGCUAACUACGUG